GACGAACGCUGGCAGCGUGCCUAAUACAUGCAAGUCGAACGAGAGCAACCGGUGCUUGCACUGGUCAAUCUAGUGGCGAACGGGUGAGUAACACGUGGGUAACCUGCCCAUCAGAGGGGGAUAACAUCCGGAAACGGAUGCUAAAACCGCAUAGGUCUUCGAACCGCAUGGUUUGAAGAGGAAAAGAGGCGCAAGCUUCUGCUGAUGGAUGGACCCGCGGUGCAUUAGCUAGUUGGUGAGGUAACGGCUCACCAAGGCCGUGAUGCAUAGCCGACCUGAGAGGGUGAUCGGCCACAUUGGGACUGAGACACGGCCCAAACUCCUACGGGAGGCAGCAGUAGGGAAUCUUCCGCAAUGGACGCAAGUCUGACGGAGCAACGCCGCGUGAGUGAAGAAGGUUUUCGGAUCGUAAAACUCUGUUGUUAGAGAAGAACAAGUGCUAGAGUAACUGUUAGCGCCUUGACGGUAUCUAACCAGAAAGCCACGGCUAACUACGUG
rnacentral:rRNA from 1 species